AGGGAGAGUCGCAGUAAGCUACGGGCUGAAUGUCCUAGACCUUCGGUCCCAGGAUCGGCGUGUAAGACGCCAGAGGUCGAUCCUCAGAUUGCCCAGUUCCUCAACAAAUCAGGCUGGAAGCAAAAGAAGGGCCUUGAUUUUUCCCUGAGACAUUGUCAAGACAAGAUUAUGGACACCAUUGGCCCUCUGUCUAAGGCCUAUGAAGUUCUGGAAGCCGCCAAGGCGGGUGACGCGGAGCUUGAUAUUGAUGUAGCGAUCGGUUGGGUGCAACGUGCCAUUUGCCUACUAGGCAAUGCUAAUAUGGCCGUCUCCGCUGAGCGCAGGAAGGCAAUCCUGCUUAAGAUUGAUCCUAAAUUGGCUACCAUGGCCGUCUCCGAACCUGGUCCCUCGGCUGAGGGGAUGCUCUUUGGAG